rnacentral:rRNA from 1 species
CAAUAGCGUAUAUUAAAGUUGUUGCGGUUAAAAAGCUCGUAGUUGGAUUUCUGCUGAGGACGACCGGUCCGCCCUCCGGGUGAGCAUCUGGUUCGGCCUUGGCAUCUUCUUGGUGAACGUAUCUGCACUUGACUGUGUGGUGCGGUACCCAGGACUUUUACUUUGAGGAAAUUAGAGUGUUUCAAACAGGCCCACGCCUUGAAUACAUUAGCAUGGAAUAAUAAGAUAGGACCUCGGUUCUAUUUUGUUGGUUUCUAGAGCUGAGGUAAUGAUUAAUAGGGAUAGUUGGGGGCAUUCGUAUUUAACUGUCAGAGGUGAAAUUCUUAGAUUUGCCAAAGACGAACUACUGCGAAAGCAUUUGCCAAGCAUGCUUUCAUUGAUCAAGGACUAAAGUUAGGGGAUCGAAGAUGAUUAGAU